AAGUUAAGUGAGAAAAGAAAAAAAAAAAGAAGUUAAGUGAGAAACGGUAAAGCCUGAGCGGCUAUGGGCCUGAAUUUAUCACGACAACUCGUGGCCCACGGAGGUGGCGGGAAGGUGGAACCACGCAGUCAGAACUUCCUCCAGAGAGGUGAGGCUGUGCGGCCUUGGACAGCUUAAGCACGACCUCAUUUAUUUUUCACUGUGUUUACUGAAACAAUGAAAUGUAGGCCGGGGAGGCGAUGGCAGGGCCUUGUGUGGCUCCCUGAUCUGGGUUCUGGCCUCCAUCCAGGAGGCCAGGGAGGGACGAGGGGCAGCCCUUGGGUGGGGGACCCUGCUGAGUGGCAGCAGCUUCAGGUGGCUCCGCUCUGUCCUUUGUCCCCGGCCCUGGGCUGUGCCCUUUGCUGUCCUGCUCAGUUUACUGCCAACGUCAAGAGGCACUUCUCAUUUAGUGGCUCCUGGUCUCAACUCCCAACAGCCUCAGGGAAGUUGCUAAACAAGCCUCCCCUGCUGGCCUCCCCUGCUGGCCUCCCCUGCUGGCCUCCCCGCCCCACCUGGGGUGCAGCAGGGCUGGCUGACUUGGCAGCGCACUUACCCACGUGGAAAUGUGCUUGGGGAUGUGUUAAAUGGAACCGGGGAAUAUUCCAAACCAUUCCUUCAAUAAUGGAAUUGAAACGUUGUGCUGCCGCAGUGGCCUGGGAUGGAAACUUCCGAGUGGAAAGUGAGAUCCUGAUUUUUCUUGAAGACGAAAUGGGGCCCCAAGGCCAUCUCCAUGAUUCACCUUGGAGAAAUCUAAUUACCCUUGAAUAUUCGACCUUCAAUGUGUCAACAUGAAUGUUUUCUCAACCUGGCUUCAUGGAGAUAUGGAGGCUGUGCUUAACAGGUAACAUUUUUCUUAGGAGUUAUUAAGGUCAUGGUCUAUUUCUUUAGUUUUGUGUCUUCCCUUUUAACCCACUUGCAC
ensembl:lncRNA